rnacentral:tRNA from 1 species
GCCCUUAUAGCUCAUUGGUAGAGCAUUUCCUUGGUAAGGAAAAGGCAAUGAGUUCAAUUCUCAUUAGGGGCU